rnacentral:tRNA from 2 species
GCGGGUGUAGCUCAGAGGUUAGAGCGCCGGAUUUGGCUCCGGAGGUCGAGGGUUCGAGUCCCUUCAUCCACAUCA